AUUAGCUGUGUGAUUAGAAUCAUAAUUAUUAUUCAAUCAUGUUUGACAGUUAAUCGAAUGAAUUAAUUGUUGAUAUUUUUUCUUCAAAUUCUUCUUUUCUAAUUAGCAACUAAUUAUGGAUGCAGUGUUUUCUAUCCUAAUUGAUUAAUUAAUUAAUUAUCUCUUUCACUAACCUUUUCUCAUAUUCACACUUUUCCUUUUGGUUGAGGCCGCCGACUCCAUAUUGUUUUUUAUUGGUAUGUUACAACUUGGUUAAUUUUUAAUCGAAAUUGUCAGUCAACAAUAUGGAAAUAAUGAAUUAAUUGCUAUUUAAUUCUCAAUGUUUGAUCAAUUAACAGUUAUCAAUCAUCAUAAUUAUACUAACGACAUCGUUGAUUAUCAAUUAAUCAAAUUUAUCCGUCUAGCAAUCGUGAUCCAGAAGUUGUUGAGCCAAUUGAUUGGAAUGAUUAAUUAGUACAUUAAUCAUUUAUACAUAUUUAAUUAGCUUUUUAUCAAUGGCAAUGGUUAUUUUGAUUUUCAUCUAUCGAUAUGAAUAUGAAAUAAUAGUUAAUUAACAUUCAUCAUCAUGUUUCAUCAAUUCAACAAUUUUAUGCAAUGGAAGAGACUUCAAAUCAUUUCUGGUUUCAAUUACUUUGGUUUCUUAAUCAAACAAAUCAAAAUUAAGAUUCUCAACAUUGGACAAACAACGCUACAUUCAUCACCUUUAUUAUUAUUAGCAACUCUAAUUAAUUUGUGAAACAAUCUUCAAAUAAUUAACUGUGACACAAAUUUACGUGAUAAAUUAAGGAAAAAAAACUAAAUAAUUUUAUCACCACCACCACCAGUUCAAGUUCAAAAUAUUGAAACAAAAUUACCAAAAAAAAGGCAGCCAAUGUCAAUCAGUUAAUUUUAAUUGAAAGACUUUAAUUAGUGAAAGAUAAAUGAAAUUAAAGAAGGUAAAAUCAUUCAAACUGCUGAUUGCCAAGUCUUAAUUUUCAAGCUUCAAUCAAUUUAUAUACAAUUUGUUGAUCAUUAAAUGAUUUACACAAACCAUUUGGUGUCUAUAAAUACCUAAACAAGAAGCAAAGAUAAUGGAGAAAAAAAACGGGAAAUAAGAACUACCAAUCACUUAAUUAUUAAUUAAUUAAUUAUAUUGAGUAAUCAACAAUCAACUACGGUGAAAGUAUUAAAAGAUUAGUGGAGAGAUAAAGGAAAAGUUAAACAAUCAAUUAGUAUUGAUACUGCUAAACCAUCUUCACAAUCAGUUGAGAGACUUCAUCAAGAGAUAAUCCAAUUGAAUUAGGAAUACAAAACAAUUAACUUUAAGUUUGUUCAACUUUUGCAACGAAUUAAGGAACUACAAGCGCCAUCUAUUGGGGCGAAAAAGUUUCCAUCCGAGUUUAGUUGCAAAUGGAGAUACAAGAUGUCGCCUGUAGAGUGGUUGAUUUAAUUGUUAACAAUUGGGAAAAAUUGAAUGAAGACGAUUACUAAAUUGUUGGCACGAGUAAAAUUUUGUUUAAUUUGUGUAAGUGUUUUGGUUAAAAGUGAUUGUCUGUCAUUCGUAAUGAGUUUCAGAGUUGAUUCAAUUAACAGGAAUUUAAAGUUUGUUGUUUAGUUAAUUGAAAUACCAUUAAUUGUGUUUAAUGUUUAAACAAAUUUGAUGACAGUGAAUAUAUAAGAAAAAUGAUUAAUGAUUUCAGUCACAGUUUUUAACAAUAUAAAUUAUAUUUCAAAGUAUAAUUUUUUCCCCUCAUUCUUAUAUAUUCAAUUGCCACCAACAUGGUAAAUAAAUAAAUCAUAUUUACUAUCAAAUUGAA